rnacentral:rRNA from 1 species
GAUGAACGCUGGCGGCGUGCCUAACACAUGCAAGUCGAGCGAUUCUCUUCGGAGAAGAGCGGCGGACGGGUGAGUAACGCGUGGGUAACCUGCCCUGUACACACGGAUAACAUACCGAAAGGUAUGCUAAUACGGGAUAACAUAAGAAAUUCGCAUGUUUUUCUUAUCAAAGCUCCGGCGGUACAGGAUGGACCCGCGUCUGAUUAGCUAGUUGGUGAGGUAACGGCUCAACAAGGCGACGAUCAGUAGCCGACCUGAGAGGGUGAUCGGCCACAUUGGUACUGAGACGCGGUCCAAACUCCUACGGGAGGCAGCAGUGGGGAAUAUUGCACAAUGGGCGAAAGCCUGAUGCAGCAACGCCGCGUGAGCGAUGAAGGCCUUCGGGUCGUAAAGCUCUGUCCUCAAGGAAGAUAAUGACGGUACUUGAGGAGGAAGCCCCGGCUAACUACGUGCCAGCAGCCGCGGUAA